UCCUACGGGCGGCAGCAGUGGGGAAUAUUGGACAAUGGGCGAAAGCCUGAUCCAGCCAUGCCGCGUGUGUGAAGAAGGCCUUUUGGUUGUAAAGCACUUUAAGUAGGGAGGAAAAGCUAAUGGUUAAUACCCAUUAGCCCUGACGUUACCUACAGAAUAAGCACCGGCUAACUCUGUGCCAGCAGCCGCGGUAAUACAGAGGGUGCAAGCGUUAAUCGGAAUUACUGGGCGUAAAGCGCGCGUAGGUGGUUACUUAAGUCAGAUGUGAAAGCCCCGGGCUUAACCUGGGAACUGCAUCUGAUACUGGGUGACUAGAGUAGGUGAGAGGGGAGUAGAAUUCCAGGUGUAGCGGUGAAAUGCGUAGAGAUCUGGAGGAAUACCGAUGGCGAAGGCAGCUCCCUGGCAUCAUACUGACACUGAGGUGCGAAAGCGUGGGUAGCAAACAGGAUUAGAUACCCUGGUAGUCA
rnacentral:rRNA from 1 species